rnacentral:rRNA from 1 species
UAAUGCUUAGGAAUCUGCCUGGUAGUGGGGGACAACGUUUCGAAAGGAACGCUAAUACCGCAUACGUCCUAUGGGAGAAAGCAGGGGACCUUCGGGCCUUGCGCUAUCAGAUGAGCCUAGGUCGGAUCAGCUAGUUGGUGAGGUAAUGGCUCACCAAGGCGACGAUCCGUAACUGGUCUGAGAGGAUGAUCAGUCACACUGGAACUGAGACACGGUCCAGACUCCUACGGGAGGCAGCAGCU